rnacentral:lncRNA from 1 species
ACAGUAUCACUCUGCUCUCUUUUCUGGUUGAAAAGAAAGAAAGAAAGAAAACGCAGGGACACCAGUCCCUACGAAGACCUUGGGCGAUUUUGAAGUGCGGGCACCUCGAUUCCCCGAAUCUGUAGUGUGGCUGGUAUCGGUGUUCCCCUGGUUUAACUAGCCUGUUUGAAGGCACAGAUCAUUCAUGGGGAUGUAUAACCGAAACCAGUCCUCUCCACCGCCUGGGGAUCUUCACUUUCGCAGUCUACGACUGCCUGUGACUCCAGAAAGACAAACUGCAGAUUGGCCAAGCUGCCUGAAGACCCAGCCCGACAGCGAUGCCUGUCAGCCCGCGUCGCCCACCAGGGCAGCUGCUCUCCCAACUCGCAUGGGGGGCACCACCCCGCCUCGGUGCCCUAGAGCUGAGCGCAGCCGCGGCUCCACGGGGAUCGCCAGGGCCUCAGCCCUCGCGGCCGGCGGCGCGGGAGUGUUGCGGGGCAGGGACCAGAGCGCGAUCAGAGCGGCCACCCCCGAUUUAGGUCGCCAGCUUUCCAGUCACUGCGAUGGCCACUGGGGCGCCCCUUCCAUCCUGGUUAAAUUCUCAUUGUGAUCCCCAGCCCUCUUCUCGGUUCCCCACACCCAGGAGGCCGGUUCUCCGCCGCUCAGGCUGGGAGAGGUCACCGCUCCGGGCAGGGUGGACCCCCAGCUCCGUCUCGGAGGACCUUUCGCCGGAGGCGAGCAGGAAGGGGUUAACCAUGAGCCUCCCACCCUCACCUCCCAGACCCUGGUGCCGGGCUAAGGCCUCCGCUUCCCUCCUGAGGUCUCAUUAGGAAACCCUCACCGCUAUUUUCAACAUUUCCUCAAUCAAGUGCCUUUAAAUAGAGCUGCACAAACAGAUUGGCGGCAAAAGCGUAGAUCUUGUCACGAUUGAGACCAAUCCAGUAUUUCAGCCUUGUUUGCUUUGCAAUUACGGGUUGGCUUGUGGCUACGGUGCCACCGGGGCAAAUCUGCAGCCGCUCGCUUUCUCCUCUGCGCUCCGGGCGGGUGGAGGAAGCGACCCGCGGAGUCACUGCAGGGAGGAGAGGGGGACGCGCGCGGGGGGAGGCGGCGGAGGGCGGAGGAGACUCGCUUGCACCCCAGGGCCGCGGGCACGCAGAGCUGUGUUGAAGGACAUACUUUUCAGGUUCCUGACAGUCACUGAGCUAUACGCAAUAAUAAAGUGCGUGAUUCGCGUGUGGAAACCA